UAACGGCGAGUGAAGCGGCAAAAGCUCAAAUUUGAAAUCUGGCACCUUCGGUGUCCGAGUUGUAAUUUGAAGAAGGUAACUUUGGAGUCAGCUCUUGUCUAUGUUCCUUGGAACAGGACGUCACAGAGGGUGAGAAUCCCGUGCGAUGAGAUGUCUGAUUCUAUGUAAAGUGCUUUCGAAGAGUCGAGUUGUUUGGGAAUGCAGCUCUAAGUGGGUGGUAAAUUCCAUCUAAAGCUAAAUAUUGGCGAGAGACCGAUAGCGAACAAGUACAGUGAUGGAAAGAUGAAAAGAACUUUGAAAAGAGAGUGAAAAAGUACGUGAAAUUGUUGAAAGGGAAGGGUUUGAGAUCAGACUUGGUAUUUUGUAUGUCUUGCUUUCGGGUGGGGCCUCUACAGUUUACUGGGCCAGCAUCGGUUUGGACGGUAGGAUAAUGACAUUGGAAUGUGGCACCACUUCGGUG
rnacentral:rRNA from 1 species